GGGCUGUAGCUUAGUGGAACAGCAUGUGCUUUGCAGGCAGAAGGUCCCAUGUUUAAGCCCUGGCAUGCCCA